GAAACGAACAGUCUGGUGGGUUUUCUGAAUGUCUUUGCUCUAUCUAUAUAGAACACAAGUGCUCUACGAACAUUCAACGUGUGAAGAGAUGCUUCCCUGCUGUCAGUGUGCGGCUUCGGGAAGAAUACAGGUAAGUCCUUGAUCAUGGCCUGGAUUUCCUUGGGGAAGCUGGAAAGGUGGAGCCAAGAGGCCCUCCGCAUGACUACUGAUGUGGUGAUGGAGCGAGUUGCUGUGUCUGCAGAAUCCAAUGAUGCCUGCAAGACCAUCCUGGCAAUCAGGGAACCUUCUGAGAUGCUCGCUUAGUAUUGUUCUUUUUUGUCUGUUUGGAGAUGCUCAAUGAAUAUAGACAUCUGUGCAAAAA